CCCCACCCACCCCGUCCGCCCGGAUAUGGGCCCUCCCGGCCUAGCGCAGACGCGCGCGCGCUCCCUCCCUGCCUUCCAAGCGAGCCUCGGCCAGACUUGUACACCGUAACCUGGAAAUGAGCCCCGCUGGCAGCGCAAAGUAGCAGGGCAGGAAGGCCCUCUAACUUCCCGGCGCGUCCUGUACUGGCGGCAGGUGAUUUUCACAGAUGGAGAAAAACUGAAGAUGUGAGGCAACAGCCCCAAAUCCUGGUGGAGCAAUGGAUUUGAACUCAGUUCUUAUCCACUUCAUUACACCACUUGCUUCAUAAUGGAUCCAGCUCUCAUUUCUCCUACUUAAUGAAACCACUGAAUGUACAGCUUGGAAUUCCAUUUCCUGCUACAUUUUUGUUCAUUUAGGAAUUGAUUCUCCUAUCCCCAUUCUGAGGGAAGAAGGGCAAGAGUUUGGGCCCCAACACAUAGCCACAGGGCUUGCACACAGGGAUACUCAACAAAUGUUUACUUUUUUGGUGAA